rnacentral:rRNA from 1 species
AUGAAAACUGUAAGAACAAGUUUUAGAAUCCAGGCAUGUCAAAUUUUAAGCACCAGCAGAAUAGGUCUAACAAACCAGACCAUGAUCAUCAUGCGCAUCAGGAUUUAUGGUUCUAGCAAAACAGUAAAGAGAUGGACAUACACGCAUCAAGCAUACCAGCUACUACAUCACCAUUCUCGUGACCAGACAUCACCAUUCACUAAUAAUUCCCAUUGGGAGAUCAAACUAUGCAUCCAACAAGCUACAGCAAUAGGGAAUGCAGAAAAAUUUAUGACCCGAGAUGAUGAAUCAACUGGGUACAUCUCAGUUUGA